AAGUCGUAACAAGGUUUCCGUAGGUGAACCUGCGGAAGGAUCAUUACAAAAUGCUGUGAAGUUGUAUUGUAUUGUUUGAAAGAAUAGUAUGAUGCGUUCACUUUGGCCCACUCCUGAAAGGGAGAUGGUAGCAUGCUUCGGCGUGCGAAAAUAAACAUUAAAUCAUGACUUAUAACCAAAAAAGAAAAUAACCAAAACUUUUAACAAUGGAUCUCUUGGCUCUUGCAACGAUGAAGAACGCAGUGAAAUGCGAAACGUAAUGCGAUUUGCAGCAUCUGUGAGUCAUCGAGUCUUUGAACGCACUUGGCACCUGGAGAUGAUCCAGGUAUACCUGUUUGAGCAGAAUAUUUAUAUAUAUGUGAGUCUCAUUUAUUUGAAUGUGACUUGAAAAGGGUUUGAAUGUGACGUGCAAGCACUCGUGUUCUGUGUGAUGGCAAGGCCGUGGUCUUGAUUCACAGGAAGCGCAGUGUGGCUGUGCGGUCAAUCGCAUUUAUUAAAACAAAACUUUUGUACAUUUUCUCUCAAAUCAGGCAAGAUUACCCGCUGAACUUAAGCAUAUCAGUAAGCGGAGGAAAAGAAACUAACAAGGAUUCCCUCAGUAACGGCGAGUGAAGCGGGAAGAGCUCAAAUUUGGAAUCACUGCGCUUUGUGCAGUGAAUUGUAAUUUCAAGACAUGUGAGAAGAGUAUUUGUGUGAGUUCAAGUCUCCUGGAAUGGAGCACCACAGAGGGUGACAGUCCCGUCUGGAUACGCACGGAAUAUUUAACUCUCUAGUGUCGACGAGUCGAGUUGCUUGGGAAUGCAGCUCAAAAGGGUGGUAAAUUCCAUCCAAGGCUAAAUAUUGGCAAGAGACCGAUAGCGAACAAGUACCGUGAGGGAAAGAUGAAAAGCACCUUGAAAAGGGAGUUAAAUAGCACGUGAAAUUGUUAAAAGGGAAACGAUCGCGGCUGAGAAGGGGGCGUUCUGAAGGCAGUCUUCUGAGGGAGAUUGUUGUAUGGAGCGUUCCAGGUGUGCUUUGGUGCGAGUUUCCGAAUAAGACUGGAGUGAGGGCAUGUGAUCAUUUUUGAUUACAUUGUCUCCUUUGGGAGAGCGGAAAGUUGUACUGGAGUGCAUGAUUUGGCCUUGAACGAC
rnacentral:rRNA from 1 species